CUUGGGUACUCGAGUGGCGAACGGGUGAGUAACACGUGGGUGAUCUGCCCUGCACUUCGGGAUAAGCCUGGGAAACUGGGUCUAAUACCGGAUAGGACCACAUUUUGGAUGGUGUGGUGGAAAGUUUUUCGGUGUUGGAUGAGCUCGCGGCCUAUCAGCUUGUUGGUGGGGUAAUGGCCUACCAAGGCGUCGACGGGUAGCCGGCCUGAGAGGGUGUACGGCCACAUUGGGACUGAGAUACGGCCCAG
rnacentral:rRNA from 1 species